UACGGGGGGGGCAAGUGUUGUUCGGAAUUACUGGGCGUAAAGGGCUCGUAGGCGGCCAACUAAGUCAGACGUGAAAUCCCUCGGCUUAACCGGGGAACUGCGUCUGAUACUGGAUGGCUUGAAUCCGGGAGAGGGAUGCGGAAUUCCAGGUGUAGCGGUGAAAUGCGUAGAUAUCUGGAGGAACACCGGUGGCGAAGGCGGCAUCCUGGACCGGCAUUGACGCUGAGGAGCGAAAGCCAGGGGAGCAAAGCGGG
rnacentral:rRNA from 1 species